rnacentral:rRNA from 1 species
UACGGGGGGGGCAAGCGUUGUUCGGAAUUACUGGGCGUAAAGGGUCUGUAGGUGGCCAACUAAGUCAGACGUGAAAUCCCUCAGCUUAACUGGGGAACUGCGUCUGAUACUGGAUGGCUUGAGUGCAGGAGAGGAACGCGGAAUUCCAGGUGUAGCGGUGAAAUGCGUAAAUAUCUGGAGGAACACCGGUGGCGAAGGCGGCGUUCUGGACUGCAACUGACACUGAGAGACGAAAGCCAGGGGAGCAAACGGG